CGGUGGCGGGCCGUCCUGCGGGGGCGGCCCGUCCUGCGGCGGCGGGUGCGGCGGUCCAUGAAGGUUCGGUUCAGAUCCCGGCCGGUGCCGG
rnacentral:tRNA from 1 species